UUGGAGGGCAAGUCUGGUGCCAGCAGCCGCGGUAAUUCCAGCUCCAAUAGCGUAUAUUAAAGUUGUUGCAGUUAAAAAGCUCGUAGUUGAAUUUCGGGAUUCAUCCGUUGGUCGGGCUUCACGGUCCGUACUGGUGUGAUGGGUUCCUACCUUCUGAAUAACCGGCAUGCCAUUAAUUUGGUGCGCCGGGGAAGCAGAACUAUUACCUUGAAAAAAUUAGAGUGCUUAAAGCAGGCAAGUGCCUGAAUAGGUUAGCAUGGAAUAAUAAAAUAGGACGGCAUGGUUCUAUUUUGUUGGUUUCUAGGAUCACCGUAAUGAUUAAUAGGGAUAGUUGGGGGCAUUAGUAUUCAAUUGUCAGAGGCGAAAUUCUUGGAUUUAUUGAAGACUAACUUCUGCGAAAGCAUUUGCCAAGGAUGUUUUCAUUAAUCAAGAACGAAAGUUAGGGGAUCGAAGACGAUCAGAUACCGUCGUAGUCUUAACCAUAAACUAUGCCGACUAGGGAUCGGACGAUGUUAAUUUUUUAAUGACUCGUUCGGCGCCUUACGGGAAAC
rnacentral:rRNA from 1 species